rnacentral:rRNA from 1 species
GCCCUUAGAGUUUGAUCCUGGCUCAGAAUCAACGCUGGCGGCGUGCCUCAGACAUGCAAGUCGAACGAGAACGUUCUCUUCGGAGAACUAUUAAAGUGGCGUACGGGUGAGUAACACGUAAGUAAUCUACCUUUGAGUGGGGAAUAACUUAGGGAAACCUAGGCUAAUACCGCAUAAUGCAAUUCUUUCUAUGAUUGAGUUGUUAAAGAAUUUAUUCGCUUAAAGAGGAGCUUGCGGCAGAUUAGCUAGUUGGUAAGGUAAUGGCUUACCAAGGCGACGAUCUGUAGCCGACCUGAGAGGGUGGUCGGUCACACUGACACUGAAUAACGGGUCAGUCUCCCACGGCAGGCAGCAGUCGGGAAUUUUGGGCAAUGGGCGAAAGCCUGACCCAGCAACGCCGCGUGAAGGAUGAAGUCUUUCGGGAUGUAAUCUUCGGAACUAUAGGAAGAAUAAAUGACGGUACUAUAUCUAAGGUCCGGCUAACUACGUGCCAGCAGCCGCGGUAAUAAGGGCG